AAAGGGUGCAGGCAAAAGCUUAUAAACACCCACCCCUUUUUUAUGUGUGUAUGUAUAUAUAUAUAUAUAUAUCUCAGAAAAGCUUCAGAGACUUGUGGACGGAUGCAUGACCUGCCAACAAAACAGAACAAGUAUGGCCAGUUUGAACGAACAUUGGGUCAUUUUAUAGACAAGCAGUUAAACUUUGCACAUAUGCUGACAAGGCUAUAAAUACCUCUUGGUAACUGUAUAUCAGUUUUAAAAAUACUUUACAAUAUUUAUUUAAGAGUGAUGAUACAUAAAAUGUUGCCACAAAGUAUGGGAAAAAUAUGGUGCAUAUAAGAUGCCUUGUUCUAGCGAAUUACAGACUUGUCCAUGGUCAGGCUGUACCAAAAUAUACUCAAGUAAUACAAUGCAGUGAUACAAUCAAGAAAUAAACAGUGUGGUUGUACAUUACAGAUUAAAACACAAAUUUAACAUUAAACACUGUUAAAGUGCUACUGUACUGAAAAUGACUUGAGAGAAAUUAAUGUUCACAUUUCUUCUGCAGCCUGAGCCAAUGUUGAACUUUCAAACUAAACUGCUUUAGUUCUGUUUGGGAUUAAUUUCUGAUGGUAAAGAAUUCUAGAAGUGUAUAUUUUAUGUAUCCUGUAAAUAUACAUGUAUGUUAAUGGAAGUUAACCAGACUGGGCAAAAGACUGACUGUAAACCCGGGUGUUGGUGUUUCUGUGUUACUUAAGGACACGAGCUGCCUUUACUUCAUGACGCAUCACGACCUGUGUCGUGCUGGAGAGUAAACUCGUCUUUAACUUUAAUUACAGACAGGAUGCCAGAGGGGCGUUGGUGCGUGCUAUUGCACACAGAGAAUCUUGAAAUGUUCAAAAAAUAAAUUCUUGGAAUCCUGCUGAGAUGUCAUUGAUGAAGUCAUCUCAUCUGCUGUUAAUUAGUGAAAUCACCUGGUGGAGUUGGUGGUUCCACAGAAACCUGCACCCUCUUUUGCCCUUUCUGGACUCAGGUUGACACCUCUAUGUACUCUUACUGAUUUGUUAUAUUGCUCACCCAAAGUUUAAGUUUGAAGAUAAAUGGUGAUGGGAACAAUCCCCCCCCCCCCCAAAAAAAGGCUCUUACAAGGUGUCACCGCUCUCUUCUGAUGAGGUAAAGGUAUCAGAUCCUGUUGAGCCUUGGUGUUACACAAGACGACACCUGACUGUGAUUUAAUCAUUAACAGUGAUUCCUGGCAUGUGAGAUUGCGUGAAUGAAACUGCAUGAUAAAACAAUCACUUCUUCGCAUGUCCAUAGCUAUAAAGAUCGCUAUAAAAAUUGUAAUGUCUGUCUAUGUCUCUGCUAAACUCUGUAUUGUCCUUUCUUUACACUGAGGCCAAUGGAAGGAGAGAAUGUGAACUACAUCCAUCUGGGUCCUCCACCCCACUUUUCGACUUACAACACUCCUCUGCAGUCCCGUGCUCCUCAUCACACCCGCCACUCCACAUCGCGAGGAAGUACAGUGGAGUGGCAGGGGCAUGGUCGUGGCAUCACGGGACGAGGAGGAGAGGAUUAAAGAUGGAGGGGACGAGGAUGGUAUUGGCUCAAAAAGUAGCAAACAUGGACAUUUGAGCAAGAAGCUGCAGAGCAACAGGAGAUGCCAGAGGACCCAGACCGGAUUGAGAUCAUCCUCCAGCAUGACUCCCUGCCGAGUCGACCACAUGGCACAUGAACGUAGACAGUACUAUACCACACAUUAAAGAUCAAAUCCAGGCUUGCAGCUCAGAUGUACCUUCUGGAAAUUUGUGGCUAAACCUGCAGGUCUUCUCAAGAAAAUCCUCCUCUGCUCCACUUCAUCAUGACGCUGUGUAACUGGUGAUACAAAAUGCAAAACCUGCACUGUGCACAGUUUCUCCAGUCACAGCCACAGAAGCCUGGAACUUCUUCUGGGUUGGGUGUCUUGGUGGCUUUCCUCACUCUUUUCCUUUUUGCACAAUCACUGUUUUUGUGAACUGUCUACUCCACACAGAUUUACCACAGAGUGUCAUACUGUUUGUGUUUCUUCAUAACUGAUGUCAGUAAAGUCCAAAACCUAUUCAGUGGCAGCUUCACUGUCAGAGAGCCUCGUCCACAAGGACCACAAAAGACUGAGCUGUCGAUGUUAAAGGGGGAAACACGGUAUGAAGAACAGGCGGAUGGAAACCUUUGAUCACAGUCAUAAGAACGACACCAACCUCUCUCCGCCGGAUCUUCCUGGCGAGCUCAGUGGCGGAGGCGAGCAGCAGCGGGCUCCGGACCGGCGGCAGCUUCUUCACGGACUCUGCAGGUCUCCGCGGAGAGAAGAGCCGGAAGAGCGCGAACAGG